UCCUAAAGAAAGAAAAGCACUAUUAAAAUACAUUCUUGCAAACGCAAAGAAGUGCAUGUUCCUUUUAAAAAUGUAAACUGCUUAAGGUGCUGUUACUAGUUCUUGAAGUAACAUUUAAAUUUGUAACAGGGCUUCAGUGAGAAUUGUCAGUGAUAAUUUGGACCUUUUCAGCAAAAGCAUCAUUGAAACAUUUAAUAGCAAUGUAUUUUUAGUAAAACACUUACAUCCAUCCCAUGAUCGGUUUGAUUUCAAACAUUCCUUAAAAUAUCUUCCUUCGUGUCCAUCAGAACAAAGAAAUUUAUACAGGUUUGUAACAAAAUGAGAUCCUUUCCCUAUCCUUUUAAAGUUUAGGUUAUUAUUUACCGCUAAUUAUUGGUCGUCGAAAAGUGUUUGUUUUUGUUAUUACUGUUGAAACCGUCUAUACCAGCAGAGAGUGAGGCGAUAGGGUGGAGAAGGGAUGCUGCUAAAACUGUAAUGGUACAUAGGUAAGGAAUGGCUAUAUAUAGAGACCUCUUUGCGCUGAGUAGUUGGAUUGAAAAAAUUGAAGACACUAUUCUAUGAGAUUUUUAUAGUUUGAAAAUAGUUUCAACCACAUUAAGAUUUAUUUGAUCAAAUGUUAUGAAAACUAAAGUAUACAAUUUACUUGCAUUUUAUUUAUCUUCUAUAUACUUUAUAUAAGAUCUCUUAAACGUAAUGCUGACAAAAAUUGGGACAUCUUUCUUGUAGAACUUUUUACAAAUUUUGUAAAAAUUUGAUUGCAAGAUUUCAAACUCGUACUAUUGAUACGCAUUCUCAUGUGAUCGUGUUGACGUUACAUGUGUAAAGAGCUUCACUCGUCCACCAAUCUGAAAACUACAUACACAGUACAUAAACACAUUUUUUUUUCUUAAGACUAAAAAGAUUUAACACCUUACGUGCCUUCAGACCUUAUACUGAACAAAUUAGUGAUUCGUGCACCAAUUUAGAUCGUUUAGAUAUAUAUAAACGACAUCAACACUGAUUUUAAACUUGUUACUUUUCCAUUGCAUACCUUUUCCUUUUACUCAAGUAAUUAUUAAAACUAUAACUUCAACUAAUCAUUUACACAAUUACUUGUAUUUUACUUUUGUUACUCUAUCCUAACUUAUGUCCUAAAACAAGUUUAUCUUUAAAGCUAGAUGAUUACCAAUUAUUUGAUUGCUAAGAGCAAUCCAACGUCAUCCAUCAAUUUUAUAUCAAUAUAUGACCAAAAUACUACUGUUUAUUAACUUUGAUUGGUAUAUUGUUAUUUUGUAAUGUAAAUGUAGCAGUUAAACUAUAAAAGUGAGACUCACCACUUCAUGCUCUUAUCCAGCCACGUGCAAAUUAAUGAACCUGCUGUCUGAACCAAGUAAUUACGCAUGUGCAGUCGUCUUCUUCGUCGUCCAAUUAAUGGCCUCUCACUCCUAUGCAAUAUUACCGCCCCCUACUGUAUAUCUAGUGCAUUCACAAUACUUAAACUUUUAAGUUGAGCUAAAUGAACAAGUUAAGUUUAAGGACUUUGUGUGGGGAAAAAGUUGGAAUUACUUAGUUAAACUAAGUAAUGUCAACAAACUUAAUAAAAACAAGUUUACUUAAUCAUUUUAGUAAGCUCAGCAAUUACAUUUUACAGUGUAUCCUGCUCCCUCAACUUAAACAGCUCCCAUUGUUUUAACCCUCGUCUGAGCUGAAAGACACUAAAGACUUUUAGUCUAAGACAUAAUGUGAAAUAAACCUUUAUUGAUGCACUGUUUGAUAGCUGAGAGAAGAUAUUUGAGCAAGUGCCAUUGAUCUCAGACAUGCUGAUGUACACAUUGCCUCAGACACUUUAAUAUCUUACUGUGAAAAUCUCACAAAGGCAGUGAAGAUGGCCAAAGACAGAGUCGAAGCUUGCUGGCAACCCCGACCAUGCUAUAAUUCCAGGAAAAUGGGUAAUGAUACAAUCAUUCAAAAGCAAGCCCUUAGAAACUAGGUGGCAGGGACCAUACCAAGUAUUAGUAGUCACUGAUGCUGCAGUACUGUGUGAAGGAAAAAGAACUUGGACUCAUGUAUCACACUGUAAAGUAGUUCCACCACCUGCAGGGGUAGACUAGGACACACAGACCAGUAAGGAGCCCAGGGAGGAACCGAAGGCAGUAGGCCUCGGGGGUCAACCCGGUGGUGAAGACUUCCUUAUAGAAUUCCCCUUUUAUUAGCUUAUCCCCACCUAACUGGUCUUUAGGUGUUGUAACACUGCAGAUUAGGGA